CAGUGGCAAGGGGUGAUUGGCUGCAUAUUGCCCCGCCUCUCCUCCCGCAUUGAGGCAGGGCCUGCCUGGCUCCCCAGAGCCCCCCAGGAAAGUUAGUUUGGUGGAGGGCAUAGCUGUCCAGAUCAAGUCCUUGCUGCCGCCAUGCAGAGAGGAGAGGAGCCCAAACCUUCUUGACCCAGGUCCAGUUUGUCUGUGGCUCUCUUACCUCCCGCAGUCCCCACCCCCACACCCCCUCGCCAUCGUGCAAGGUGGUGCGCAAUCCACCACAGGAGCGCAGCAAGGCACCUCACUGAGUACCCUGCUCUCCUUCACUAGGCAGCUUGUCACCCGCCCAAAGGGCACUUUUGCAGGGCUCCUUUUAUUCCCCUUCCCUCCUCCUAUCCGCAAUCGGAGCUCAGUGUUCUCUCGGCCUGGCAGCUUCUUCGUUUAUGCGGGAGGUGAGGUGAGCGCAGAGGCAGUGUGCGCUCCUGCCUGGACUCCUGCCCAGUCUUCUCCGCUGUCGGUCCGGGCUCCACUCGGCACAGCUUGCUCCUGUCCGCCUUCCGCAGGCGCAGGCAGCUCCUGGGGGGACCGCAUGCGUGCGCUCGCCACCACCGAGGCCGCCCUCCCGCCAGCGCCCGCGGUUGCUCGUGGGUGUACCUGGACCUUUUCUGAAGUGAGCAAGGAGCACGUGAUUCCAGCUGCUAUCUCUACCUGGAAAUGCAAUGCAUAUAUAAGAGCUGAGAAUACCAUCAUUUCCAUGAAGCAGUAAUAGGCCUGCAGGUCACACCUGGCUGGCUAGAAAAACGACCUAAUUGAAUGCGACGUGUAACCGAAUCUCUGCGGUAUAAGAGAACAGCUAUCUUCAUCACUGGCAAGGACCAUGUAAACAGAGGGAGCAGCUGAGAAUGCUGAGAUACACAGUGAGUCCUGUUGCUUCUGGGGUUAGCCAGCUCCCGCCUUCAUUAAAAUUUUGAUG
rnacentral:lncRNA from 1 species